AUACGUAGGUGGCGAGCGUUAUCCGGAUUUACUGGGUGUAAAGGGCGCGUAGGCGGGGGCGCAAGUCAGGUGUGAAAUCUAUGGGCUUAACCCAUAAACUGCACUUGAAACUGCAUCUCUUGAGUGCUGGAGAGGUAGAUGGAAUUCCUUGUGUAGCGGCGAAAUGCGUAGAUAUAAGGAAGAACACCAGUGGCGAAGGCGAUCUACUGGACAGUAACUGACGCUGAGGCGCGAAAGCGUGGGGAGCAAACAGGAUUAGAUACCCUGGUAGUCCACGCUGUAAACGAUGAAUACUAGGUGUGGGGGGACUGACCCCCUCCGUGCCGCAGUUAACACAAUAAGUAUUCCACCUGGGGAGUACGGCCGCAAGGUUGAAACUCAAAUGAAUAGACGGGG
rnacentral:rRNA from 1 species